rnacentral:lncRNA from 1 species
CCCACACCUGCAGAAGGCUCCACGGCCGAAACGUUGUGUUUUCUUUCUUCUCUUCUCAGCACGGAAUAAUACACCUAUUACCUGUUCCUUAUUACACGUUAUUACGUCCGACACUCCAAAGGGUUGGUAAGAGACUGAAUAAACGCGCUUAUGGUUCCCUUCUCUUGUUAUUAUCUUUAUUAUUUCACAAGCGCACGUGUGAACUGCGACAGGAAGUUGGAAUCGCGAGAUCGCCGUUUGGCGUUUAAAGGGUUUGACUGUGAACAGAAAUACCGCACAUCGUCCAAGCAGUCUGCAUCACUGUCAUCUUGUGGAGAGGGUGCCAGCGUUUGUGCCAGGCUGGGUUGUGGCCGUGAGACGGAGGCAGUGGGUGUCAGUUAUGGGUUUCACAGUGCACGUCAACCUGACUGCCAGCCUGCAUCCUCGCUGCUGCGUCUUCCUCCUUACUCUGACCUCCUGCACUCUCAGACCACGUCUUCGCAGUGCCAUCCCACAGUGGUGUCUCGACUGGGCACCGGCACUAACCCCUGCUCCAGGGGAACAUGGUCUGCAGAUGAGGCCAGUCAGUUUGGAGCGAUGUCGGCAGAAGUGAUGGAGGCUGUUGCCAGUAUUACAUCUGACAGCACAGAGGAGGCUUCUUAUGAUGUGCAGCUAUAUGAGAAGUUUUUUCCUCAACAAGAAAUGACAGCAGUACAAAGAUCCCUAGGUAUUGUGGACAAUCAACCGAUGCUCACCCAGCCAGUGCCAUCUAUUCUCAAAACAUUUGACCACCCAAGAGAGCAGGGGCACAGUCUGUGCCAGGGAGGACCGCAGCUGGUGGUUGUAAACAGCUGUAACCAGGGGCAGAUGAACUCCUUCCAUGGUGUGGAGCACUCUCACACCAUACCCUACCCAGAACCUCAGGCGUACACUCCCUUCCUGACCGACACAGCUGGGAAAGGUCAUCACCUCUCAAAACCCUUUUG